UACGUAGGGGGCAAGCGUUGUCCGGAAUCAUUGGGCGUAAAGCGCGUGUAGGCGGCUGGGUAAGUCCGCUCUGAAAGCCCCGGGGCUCAACCCCGGGAGGCGGGUGGAUACUGCUCAGCUCGAGUCCGGAAGAGGAGUGUGGAAUCCUGGUGUAGCGGUGAAAUGCGCAGAUAUCAGGAGGAACACCAAAUGGCGAAGGCAGCACUCUGGGACGGUACUGACGCUGAGACGCGAAAAGCGUGGGGAGAAACAGGAUUAGAA
rnacentral:rRNA from 1 species